UACGGAGGUAGCUAGCGUUGUUCGGAAUUACUGGGCGUAAAGCGCACGUAGGCGGCUUUUUAAGUCAGGGGUGAAAUCCCGGGGGUCAACCCCGGAACUGCCCUUGAAACUGGGAAGCUAGAAUCUUGGAGAGGCGAGUGGAAUUCCGAGUGUAGAGGUGAAAUUCGUAGAUAUUCGGAAGAACACCAGUGGCGAAGGCGACUCGCUGGACAAGUAUUGACGCUGAGGUGCGAAAGCGUGGGGAGCAAACAGG
rnacentral:rRNA from 1 species